rnacentral:rRNA from 1 species
AUACGUAAGGAUAGAAGGUGGGGGAUCUUCGGACCUCAUGCUCAUGGAGUGGCCGAUAUCUGAUUAGCUAGUUGGUGAGGUAAAGGCUCACCAAGGCGACGAUCAGUAGCUGGUUUGAGAGAACGACCAGCCACACUGGAGCUGAGACACGGUCCAGACUCCUACGGGAGGCAGCAGGUGGGGAAUUUUGGACAAUGGGGGCAACCCUGAUCCAGCAAUGCCGCGUGAGUGAAGAAGGCCUUCGGGUUGUAAAGCUCUUUUGUCAGGGAAGAAACGGUGAGUUCUAAUACAGCUUGCUAAUGACGGUACCUGAAGAAUAAGCACCGGCUAACUACGUG